rnacentral:rRNA from 1 species
GGUUAAGCGACUAAGCGUACACGGUGGAUGCCUAGGCAGUCAGAGGCGAUGAAGGACGUGCUAAUCUGCGAUAAGCGUCGGUAAGGUGAUAUGAACCGUUAUAACCGACG